AGGGAAAAUGUUGGAUCUCUCAUCAAUAGGCCACCAGGGAACUCGAAGUUUUCUGGCUUAUAAUCCUGACGUCCCACUGCCUCUCUGGUUUUUCUCUGCAGCAUUCUAACAUGUUUUUAGUUUAUCCAUUUUGUUUAUUCCACUGAGAAAAGGACAGUUUACAUACGUACGUUCUCCAAAGGGGCCAGAUGACGUCUGAAAUUGCAAUAAUGGUAGGCAAAGCUUUUAAGCGGGAUGGUGUAUUAUUGAAAACAGAAAAAUCAUAAACAACAUUGUAAUCAUGGGCACAAUUUUAAACAAGAUUGCUUUACCUGGUUUUGUUGUCUUUCUUGUUAGAUAAUUUCACCAGCAGGUUUAUAACAAAAAGAAGCAAGGAAAGCAGAGUCUCUCCCUGGAAAUUUAAUAGCAUUAUGUUCAGUGAUGAAUAGAAGUAUUUCUCUUAUUUUGAUCACGCCUUGCCCACAGUAUGAACUCGAUAAAUGCUUGUUCAAUCGAAUUAUUAUUACAAUAGCUUGUUGCUUUUUUCCACAAGGCAAUAAUAACUUUCAUUUGUAUAAUGCUUUCCUGCUUACAAAGCACAUUCUUCAUGCAUUACUAUUUUAUUCUCACAGCAAUUCCAAAAGGUAGAUAUUAAUUUCUUCAUUUUACAAAGCAGGAAGCAGAGGCCCAGGUAAGUUAGAUCAUUUUCCCAAGGUCAAAACUGCUCACAAGGUGUUAACUUGUUAGGAAACAAUGACAGGUUAGAGGAAAACUGGUCUUUCAGGGGAGGCAGUAUGGUGCACUGGUUAAGAGUUUGCGCUUUGAACUCUAACUGCCUCAGCUCAAAUCAUGCCCCUACUCUGAACUAGCUGUGUGCCCAUGCUCAAGAGACAUAUACUUUCUGUACCUCAGCUUCAUCCUGUGAGAAAUGAAAAUACCAACAGUAGCUACCUUGAGGGAGGUUAAUUUGUUGGAAUGGCUUGUGUAAAGUGCUUGGCAUUUUUGGAAAGCCCACCUUAAGGACUCAAUGAAUAGCAGUUGUUACUGUUAUAGUGAUUACUCUUUCCGUCUUGGGAAAACUAUUUUAGCAGGUCCCAUUGUCUCUUCACAUACCAGAUACUGCAUAUCUAGUGUGUUACAAAGAGUAGAGGAAACUGUGAGUUAGGGGCAUGAGUCUCAAGCGUUUGAAGGCCUGGGUCUGAGUCCUGGUUCUGCCCUUGAUCAGUUAUAAGAUCAAGAGAAGUUCUCUUUUCCUUGGGAUGGCUGAUUUCUGCUCUGAAAUGGGACAGUGGAGAGUUCCCAUGUGGCACAGUGGGUUAAGGAUCUGGCAUUGCCACAGCUGAGAGGUUCCCUGGUGACUCAGUGGGUUAAGGAUCCCACACUGUCACUGCUGUGGCUUGGGUCGCUGAUAUGGUGCAGGUUUGAUCCCUGGCCCAGGAAUUUCUGCAUGUCGUGGGUGUGACCAAAAAAAUUAAUGAAUUAAUUAAAAUAAAAUGCUCAGGAUGGCAGAGGAGACAGAUACACAAAAUGAUAAAUGAUUAUACUAUGAUCUGAAUUCAAGUCAGAUAUUAUUAUAAAUGUACCUACGAGAAAUGGACACUGUAAGAGUUCCAAGAGCACUUUAAAAAUGUGAACACAGCCUGCAAUCCUGUUGCAGAGAAAAGACUAACAUCCUCUCGACACCCACACUUAGGAACUCUGCCAAGAAAGGCAGGUGAGGUCUCCACUAUGUCUGUCAUCUCUCUUCCGUGAGGAAGUGCCAGGAUGCAGGGGGCCUCUGUAGCUGCAGUUCCAUCAGUCCUGUGACACCACACAACUCCUCAGCUCUUUUUCCCAGCAACGCAGUGGUGGGACCAGUGUCCCAGGAUUUGUUGUAGUUCAAGUAGACACUUAUUGAAAACCUAGUCUGUGCCAGCCUUUGGUUCUGCUAAACAGAGUGGAAAGGACAUUUUGCUCAGGCCCUAAGAGGGCUGCAGUUCAGACUCACAUAUUAAUUAAUCCAGAAUAAAGUGCUCCAGAGGAGAUACCGGUAAGCAAAAAGCUCAUGGUAAAAGGCUCCUUGCCCCACCUGGAGGUCAGAGAAGGCUUCCCAGAGAAGGAGGCACUCGAUCUGAGUCUUAAAGGGUAAGUAUGAUGGAGAGAAAAUGGUGUGUUGGGGGGUGGUUACUAGAGAAAAGGGGAGAACACAAACAGAAGGUAGGAACUAUUCUGAAAGAGAGAUCCACUUAUUCCCGUGAACUGCUCCACUCCCCCCAAAUACAAAUACUUGGUCUCAAAAUAUAAUCACAUUAUGUCACCCACUUUUCAUGGUUUGUCUUAUAGGGAGCUUUGUAAACAUAACUAAUAUUCCAAAUUAUCUGUGAGGUCUGUUUGAUUUCAGAAUCAUCCUCUUUUAUUCCUAAACCAGAGCACCCCAAAAGGGAGAAUUAGUGAUUUGCCUUGAUUCAAUGUCUCCUUAGCAAGAGUUCAUCUACUUUAUUUCUCCAACUGGAUAAAUAAAUUAUUCAUAAAUCUGACUACAGGAGCAUGCAAAUCUAAAAUGUGGGCUACAAUAUUGGUGGGCAAAGGUUCCUAUCUCAUUACAGAAGAUGUCUGAUAUAAAUAUUAAUUUUCCUAAAGUGGUGAUGGCAGAGAUUUCAUACAAAGGAUGUUCAUACUUGAUUAAACAUCAGACUCAAAUUACCUGAGCCUUCACAUGUAUGGAGAAUCAAAUUCCAUUUCAUCCUGAUAAGAAGCUGCCCUGGAGAAUCAUUCUGGAUUUAGCAGGCUAAUGUGGUCCACGGCCUCUUUAUCAAAACAUAUGAUAGUUGAAAAUAUUACUGUGGCCUAAUUGCCUUGGCUAGAGGUGGGGAAAUGGAGAAGUGGGAUUUUAUAAUAACCUACAUAAUAUAAAUUCUGCCCCAACAAACAACUAUUUAUUGACUGUCAAUGUUCGUAAACCCUCCCCUCCCCCUCCAGGAGAAAACUGAACCACAGACAGAAUGAACAGCUUAGUCAAGGUCAAGUAACUAGGAUUUAGUGAUGGUUGCUAUGAGAAUACAUGAGAUAAAACAUGUGUUAAAUGCUUAGUAUGGUGAUGGAUAGCUAAGUGAUAAUAGCAGCCAUUGUCAUCAUGAAGAAAAUCAAACUUGAAUCCACCAAAUGUAUCGCUUGGAAAAUGUACUAUGUGGGAAGAAGGUUCCUGAUUGCUGGUCAGGAUAUGACACACUCCUACCUGUGUGCUCAGCAGGUUUGUAUAACAGCUUGGCUCAGGCACACUCUUAGGCGGCUGACAAGAAUGAAGACAGGCAAUGGCUCUCACCUUUCUGGGCCACAUGGGCCAGAUUCUCUCUCAACAAACCAGAGCAUCCCAACUCUUCAAACAUUGCCAAAGUCUGCAAAUUGGCACAUCCAUUAAACCUGUGCAUGCUAAUAGAGCCUAUGGACACGUUCCAAGGUUAAUUACGUGUAAGAUUUUGGAAACUUCAAAAGCCAGGAUUACUAACUUGAGUCGUACAGCCAUUUCUAUUGGGCACUUUUGUGCAGAAAGGACGGAAAUUAAGUUUUUUUUUCUUUCCCUUUGUGCCUAUUGGACAGAGGACUCUUAGAUAUUCUGUGGCUAUUUGUCAUUGUGGUAUGAAAAGAGUGGCAAAUGGAAAUGCAGACCCAAAGAGGUCAAAGAAAAUAUUUUUUAAAAACACUGUUUCCCUCAAACAUUCAGACAACUGUAGUUAAAGUGGGUGGCUUAGCCUGCCUAAUUUGAAUUUUCCAACUCCAAAAAAGCCUCAGGAGCCUUGAGUUCUAGUUCAACCAUGGACUUAAGGGUGACUUUGUUCCAAUUUCCUCACCUGUCAGCAAAGGUAUUAGACAAAAUUAGAGUAUCCCAAAGUUCCACAGACCACAAAUGCUGGGAGAUAUUUCUAGGAGCCUUAACAUAAAAGAAUUCUUUUCAAAAAUAAACAACAGAAUCACAACAAAACUCCAUAAAUAGGGCUACAGUUUACAUCCCUUUCUUGGAGUAUCACGAUGCUAAUGAUAGCAUAUUAAAGAUUCUGAACUUCUUGAUGCAAACAGACCUGUACUGUUCUUCAAACCACCCUUUCCAAACUCAGUGGUCCAUGACAUGUAACACCCCUAAGUAUCUUGGGAAACUGGUAGAACACACUUUUAGAAAUAUUGGAUUAAAUUAUCCUGAAGGUUCCUUUUGCUGCUGGAUCCCAUGAUCCUCUAGAGAAGACUGACUUUGCCACGUAGGUUUAUGGUAGAGACAUGUGAUCUGUGCGUUUCUCUCUCAAUUCCUGUCCCAUCCGACAUCUGAGACUUUAUUGUCACCCAUUACUGGGUUUGGAAAUGGGAGGCAGGGAGCUAGCGAUAUGAGAGGCUGCCCUCUAUACUUCCCUGCAGCCAAUAGGGAUUGGAAAAUUUUCCUUAGACAUCCUCAAAAUACAUGGAAACAGGAAUUUUUGUGGAAUGAGGAAAACAUUUCCUGAAACUAAGACCUGAGGUUUUAGAUACUUCUUUCCAGUUGAUGGAGCCAGUUGGCUUCAAAUCCCUUUCAUAGCUAUACAGACUAGAUGAGUUUGAGACCCCUUCCCACUCCAAAAUUAUAGGACUCCAUAGAGAUGAGUUGAUAGAAAAACUUUUGACUUUAUCAUAAAAUCAUCAGCUUAUGGCUGAUGCAUUUAACAAGCUUAUUGCUCUUAUAAAAUCCCCAUGGCCAAGGUAGCCUCCAGGAGCAAAUACGCUCGUCGUUUUCCUGUCCUCCUGAAGCCAGCCUCAAUGCUGGGUGACCUUCUUAGGAAACAUGGGCUGGAGUUGCCGUGACAUUUUAAGGUGUGCUGAUUGAGGUCACACAACUAUGCACGUGAU
ensembl:lncRNA